CAGCAGCCGCGGUAAUACCGGCGGCCCGAGUGGCGGUCACUAUUAUUGGGCUUAAAGCGUCCGUAGCCGGGUUGGGAAGUCCUCCGGGAAAUCUGGCCGCUUAACGGUCAGAAUGCCGGAGGAUACUCCCAGCCUAGGGAGCGGGGGAGGCCGAGGGGAUUCCCGGAGGAGGGGUGAAAUCCUAUAAUCCCGGGAGGACCACCUGUGGCGAAGGCGCUCGGCUGGAACGCGUCCGACGGUGAGGGACGAAGGCCAGGGGAGCAAACCGGAUUAGAUACCCGGGUAGUCCUGGCUGUAAACGAUGCGGACUUUGUGUCGGACAAGCUAUGAGCUUGUCCGGUGCCGGAGGGAAACCGUUAAGUCCGCCGCCUGGGGAGUACGGCCGCAAGGUUGAAACUUAAAGGAAUUGGCGGG
rnacentral:rRNA from 1 species